rnacentral:tRNA from 1 species
GCCUACAUAGCUCAGUUGGUUAGAGCACCUGACUGUUAAUCAGGGGGUCCUAGGUUCAAGUCCUAGUGUGGGCGCCA